GGCUCUGCUCCCUUCUUUUGUCUUUACAUAGUCUUUCCCCCCGCUUUUUCAUCCCUCUCUCCCUCUUUCUCUCUGCUUCUUCUCCUCAUAUAAUCAUCAUUCGAUUCAUCAUCUCAUCAUCAUCAUCAUCAUGCCAUCUUUGAAUGAAGGAGGAGGAAGCUUUUCUUUUGAGGGGAAUGUUGUCUGGCUCGAGGUCGCCGCACAACUCUUUUAUCCACCUCUCUCCAAUCUUCUUCCCAAUCGAUCGAUCUGAUCCGUCGAUCGAUCGCUAAAAUGGGCCGAGAUCGAGAUCGACGAUGGUGGUGCCGUCGGACCAGGCUUCAUUCCCCCCAAUUUUCAGCUUCCGCAUCUCUGCUGUCCGAUCGUUUUCUAUCCGUUGCAGGAUCUGAAGUUCUUUGGUCUUGUAGUGGAAGCGGAUUGUUCUACUGAAGGAGUAAAUACAGGGAAGUAAUUUCUAACAUUUUAUUUUUUGUUUGAUUGGGAAAUUAUCUUUCUAUCAUCUGUAAUGAAUAUCAUUUUCUUUUAUUUGAAGAUAUUCUAGGUUUGUUUUCAUUUGCAUGGGGUGGAUUUGAGGUUUUUAGAUGAUGGGUGGAAGGUGAUUUUGUAAUCUGAAUGCGGAAGAUUGCAAUCUCGUAGAAACGAAUCUGUUAUCAUGCUUUUCCUUUUUCAAUCGAUUUCCUCCUCUCAUUUCUCUCAUUGAAAUCUUAUCUCAAUCCAGGAUCGUAAAUCUCCCCCCAAAAGAAAAAAGGAAGAUAUAAAAGUGGUUAUCUUUCUUUAAACUUUAUCUAUCUGUUGCUUGAAUGUGGACGACUGUCUGCCAUGCUUUGCUUUACGAAAAACUGCAUAUGCAUGAAAAGUCCUAAAAAAUGCUUCGUAUGAAUCUGUCUUCAGCAUUGUGAUUUUUUUUUAAAAAAAAUUUUAUUGGGUGGGUUUGAUCAUUUCAUUGACCCAACACAUGAAUGUAGACUUUAAAAAUGCAUUCCAAUCUUCAAAUCACAGGACUUAGAAAGCAGGAAAGGCUAUUUCUAAGAAUUUCUAUUGAGCAUCCCCAAAUGGGUUUUCUUUCUCUUUCUUUCUUUUUACCCUUUUACUUCCUUUUUCACCUUUUCUGUCCACUUUCCUGAUUCCAUUGCAUUGCUCUGUCGACUCUAUCAGACUUCAGUCAUAGUACACCGAAAGCUGGCUGAUGGAAAAGAUGGGCGACGGUGUGGAUCUCCUUUACUGCACGUGUGACUGAUUCUAUGCCCGUGUGUAGAUACGUGCGACAGAUCGUUGAAGGGGCACGGGGGAAGGCAUCAUGGAGGUUGGAUUGGAGACUCUCUAGAAUAGAGGAACGUCAGCAUCUAUGGCAUGGAUGUCUCUCCAUCACUGACUGCCAUUUAAUGCAAGACAUGGAUUUUCAAUGCAUUUAGCGAAACCCCAUGAAAAAGCUCCAUUCAAAUUUCAAAACUCGUUUUGGAAUCUAUAGGUAACAACGUCAGUUUGACUCCAUCGACACUAUGAAAAUAUUCAUGGUUUUUCUCAUUUAUAGGUUUGGUUAUUGAUAUCAACACCCACCUUGUGAGAUUUUCAUACUCUUUUUUUAAAAAUUUCACUGUUCAAAGAGUACACUGGGCUAGCUACUUGAAAUAUAAAAAUUAGUAAAUGGUGUAUUCAGAGCAGAAAAUGGGUUAAUA